rnacentral:rRNA from 1 species
GUGGGGAAUAUUGCGCAAUGGGGGAAACCCUGAUGCAGCGACGCCGCGUGGAGGAUGACGGCCUUCGGGUUGUAAACUCCUUUUGUCAGGGACAAUGGUGAUGGUACCUGACGAAUAAGCCACGGCUAACUCUGUGCCAGCAGCCGCGGUAAGACAGAGGUGGCGAGCGUUGUUCGGAAUUACUGGGCUUAAAGGGCGCGUAGGCGGUGGUGUAAGUCUGGGGUGGAAUGCUACAGCUCAACUGUAGAGCUGCCUUGGAAACUGCAUUACUUGAGUCGGUGAGGGGAAGGCGGAAUUCCUGGUGUAGCGGUGAAAUGCGUAGAUAUCAGGAGGAAGGUCUGUGGCGAAGGCGGCCUUCUGGCACUUGACUGACGCUGAGGCGCGAAAGCGUGGGGAGCAAACAGGAUUAGAAACCCGGGUAGUCC